UAAGGACACAGCAAUUACAGGAACUUCUAGAGCCAGUUCUCUUCAGGAGCAUGCCAGGCUGAAGCUUUGUCCUAUGGAGAAGCAGAAAAGGUCAGAGGAGGAGAAAGAAAGAGCCCUUCCCGGUCAAGGAGCCAGCCAGGGAGGGAGACAAAAGGAAGGAGGCUCCAUGGAGAUGCAAUGUGAUUAGCUGGCCUUCUGCUCUGACCACCGUGACUUCCCUGCCUGAAACCAUGUCUUCCCCUCCAUGAUACAAGUCACAAGAUGAAAUAAAUCCUUCCUUCCCUAAAAUGGGUAUUUUUGUCUCAUCAACAAGAAAGUUAACUUAUGUAAAGCUGGCUCUAGGGAAGUCAUUAGGAUUUGAUGAGGUCAUGAGACUAAGGUCCUGGUGAUGGUAGUAGUGGCUUUUGUAGAAGGAAAGGAGGAGGAGAAGGAGAAGGAAGAAGAGGAGGAGGAGGAGGAAAAGGAAGAGGAAAAGGAAGAGGAGGAGGAAGAGGAGGAGGAGGAGGAAAAGGAAGAGGAGGAGGAAGAGGAGGAGGAAGAGGAGGAGGAUCCAUGCUGUCUCACCACAUUGCCCCCUGGUUAUACUAUGAUGUUUCAGAUGAGUCUUCAUCAGAUGCCAGGCAGAGCUGGCACCAUGCUUGGGCUUUCAGCCUCCAGAAAAAUAGCAAAAGAAAUUUCUAUUCUGUUCUCUUUUCCAGAAAAACAAGCAACAACAAUAAAACCCCACAUUUGUUCUAAAGCAAUGAUAGAUAAAGAGAAACCUCUUCUUUUCAUAAUGACAACAGAUAAACACAGAAAGAAUAUGGAGUUCUUUUAAAAAAUAAAAUCACAAAUUUGCCAACAUUCUAAUAAAAGUUAUUAAGAUACAGGAUCAUCAAAUGAUACUAAAUCUAGGAAGGGCAGGUGUGAGGAGCUACAGAAUUGUCAAGACAAUAUCAGCAUUUCUUAUAAAACAGUAACUGGGAGAAAUAGUAACUAGACAAUGCAGAAAAUAGACAACCUCUUUUCUGUGUGAUGGAAAUUAACACCAAUAACAAGGACUAUUCUGCUCAUCUGAGCUUGGUACCCAGGGUUGCAUCACUUAAUAGUAUUCUCACCCACACCACACAAUCCAAAUCUACCCACGAGGAAACAUCAGGAAACUCCAGUGAAGCUGAUCGUCUUCAAAGACAUCAAUACAACAAAAGACUGGAAAGGGCAGAGGAAUGGCUCCAGAUCAGCAUCAUGACAGCACAAUCUACAAUCCCAGACUGGAUCCCGCCUCUGAGAAAUUACCAGCAGAGCAAAUGAAAUCGGAAUAGAGACUGCAGAUCAGAUGAAAGUCCCGUCUGAAUGGGAGACUGCAGGAUUUAUAUGCUUCAGUGAGACUGUGUGCUUGCUCUUGUGAAGUGCGUGUAUAGUAUUAAAGUGUGGAGGGCUGGGUAUCUGUACUAUCUCUCAAAUGAGUUAUAUAGAAAGGUUAUAUAUCAAGGAAUAGAAAGUUAUAAAGCAAACACAGGAAUCAUCAUCAAAAAAAAAAGAAGAUAACAUGUGUAGCAAUGAAUGUUUUCUUUUCUUUAAUUUUCUCCCAAACAAGCAUAUCCACACUGACAUGUAAGUGUGUAUUUCUGGAGUACAAAAACUUUCAGUACUACCCAAAUCCUCCAUGUAAGGCAAGCAGUGAAAAUAUUCCUUAGGGGUUGGUUGUCAACAUGUGUAUAAAGGGCUAUGUCUUUCCCAGGAAGCAUAGUACUACAGCUUCCAUAUAUUUUUUUAUAUGUAUGCACAAACUUCUGCACUCACGUGUAAUUGUUUCCUUUUGAUGGUGAUAGUCUCUAAGUUUUUGUCAUUUCCAUGUUUGCUUUGCUAAAGCUUGUGCUUGGCUUCAAUGCGGAGAUCAUAUUUUCUCUUCAUACCUUCUCUCUGGAGCAGUGUCUGAAAUGUGUGUUCUCAGCUAGCAGACUCAGUUUGUGAGUCAUAGCAUUAACAUAAUGUGAUGGUUGUUUCCUGCAGUGCAGUACCAAUGAAGACCUGCAUAGGAGGGCCUGAGUCUGCUCAUUGGACCAACUUGUGAGAGGAAAGUAUUCAGGUAUGUCUGUAAAAUGAGAGGCAUACAGGUUUAAGUCCUAGGUUGACCUAAAGUUAAUCAACCCAACUUUUAAUGGGUCUGUGAUACUCUGAUUGGGUUCAAUUGUAAAUUCCUCAUUAAACUUCUAUUCCUUAUAAGUCAUGCAGGCUCCAGAAUUUUGUUACAGUUUUUAAAAACCAGCCCUCCCAAAACAAGCAAAUAAACAAUAACAAAACACAUGAAGAGACAGAGAGAUCACAUGUUGCAGAGUUUUCUUACUCAUAUUCUCUUAAAGAUGAUCUUUGUGUGUCCUGAUCCAGAACAACAUUAGAGCAAGAAAGAAGUGGCUGAAAUUUAACCAGGCUGUUGCCCUCUAAAAUUCUUGUUUAUUUUUGUUUGUUUUGCAUGCAUACAGGUGUGUGCAAGUGGUCAAAGACCAGAAGAGGGCGUCAUGUCCACUAAAGCUGUAGUUAUGGUCAUUGUGAUUCACUUGAUAUGGACGCUGGGGACUGAAAUCCAGUCUCCUGAAAGUGAAGCAAGCCCUCUUAACUAUUGAGAGGCAACAAAGAACACUCUAAAGCGGUGUGUGUGUGUGUGUGUGUGUGUGUGUGUGUGUGUGUGUGUGUAGUCUUGUGCACGUUUGUAACCCCAGUACUUUGAAGGUGGGGACAAGAAGUUAGAAUCUUUCUCAGUGGCACAGCCAGUCUGAGGCCAAUUUGUGCUACAAUGAGAUCUUGUAUUAAAACAUGUGUGUGAGUAUAAGUGCAUGCACACACAUACAUACAUACAUACAUACAUACAUACAUACAUAUAUACCAACAGCUCAAGGUCCUGAGUUACUUAGGCCCUGUUCGGUGUCAGCUGUGCCCUCCCCUCUCUCACAGUGUGGCUGUUGUUAGUAGGAGGUAAAGCCCUUGUGAGGAAGCCCUUUCAUAGUUACUGCUAAAGAGGAGCCAGAAGUGGUGGGUGAGCUACUGCUCGGGCCACCUAUGAACUUGCUUUCCUUGCCUACCGGGCAAUGUCUCCUCCAAGAAUCUUGGGACAGAACGGAAGACCUCAAGCCUCAGGCUCAUCACCCAUAGCCCAGCAUUGACUCUCACCAUGCAGGUGUCCUUUGGCACCCAGUGUGAGGUGACCAUGACCAUGGCUACUCUCUUCCUUUUUUUGCUCCCUUUCCUCUUCGUUAUCUCAUAAUACUCCUCACUGAGAAUUUACCAUGUGCUAGGCACCAAAUCAAAUCUCUUCUAAUUCUUACACCCCUGUGACAGAAAAUGAUCUUAUCAUUCCCCUUUUCAUGAGCAGUAACCAAGGUAUGGAGAAGUCAAACCUGUUGCCCAAGGUUGUAUGUUAACCAGUGGAGUCAAGACUUAGACUUCUCUUCCUUAAGACCAGCAAGUUUCAAUGGAGCUCAAGGAUGCCCAGGUUCCCUGGAUUCUUUAUAGAGUUCUGUGAGAGCAAAGCCAUAAUAAUGAUUGAAUUGCUUUUUUCCCACUGGGUUGACUCUGGAGAUGAUAAGGUAAAACUCAGCAUUUUACCCAUGUGGGUAACACUUCAGAUCCCUAGACCAGAGACCCUCUUCUGCAAAUACAGGAGUUCAUGCAGGAAAACUCUACUUUUGUUUGAGAAUGUCCUGAUGAAGUCUGGGGACAUUGCUCAUGGGUUGAAGUGCUUGCCCUACAAGCAUGAAGGCUGGAGUCCACAUAAACACCAGGUGGGCAUGGCAGCCUGCUUAUAGAUCUGGCCUCAGAAGAUGGAGGUGGGAGCCCCAGAGCAAGCUGACUAGUGAGAUUAGGCACAUAAGCGAGGUCUGAGUUUGACUGCGAGAUCGGCCUCAAUGAUAAAAGAUCAGGCAAGGCUGAUUCCUCCCAUAAGCCUUCUGCAUCCACUUGUAUAUGCACAUGUGGGCAUGUACCCAUAUACAUGAAAAACAUGUAUAUGUAUGUAUAUAUGUAUGUGUAAGUGUAUGUACAUAUACACAUAUGCAUUUGCACAUAUAUACCACAGACACACACAAAAAAAAUGGAAAAAAUAAGAAUUUUCUCAGGAGAGGAUAAAAUUACCAACUGUAUUAAAUCUCCACUCUCAGCACUAGUCCACCUAAUGUCCUGUUCAAUAAAAUGAGAGGUGUGCACACUAAUUUAUGCUAAAUAUGUUGGUCUUGAGAAAGAACACACAUGUGAAUGUUUGAGUCGUAAGUUGAGCCAACCCCUUUCCUCAUAAAAAAUCCUUUAUUUGAAGAAGUGGCUGGCAGACAAAUGAUGAUUGUCUGGACUGGGGUGUGUGGAAAACAUUUUCUUGCAGAUGAACAGAGCGAGGCUGUCGCUUCAAGGGAAGCGAUCGGCAGCAUUUGUUGUCGUUGCGAACCUUCACGUUUCCAAGCCUAUUAGGAUUUGGGAAAUUUGUAUGCAUAUUGUAUCCGUCAUGGUCUAGCCAGGAGAGAGAAACCACCUAGCAAUUUGAAUAGGGAAGAUUUUAUAGAAGGAACAAACUAUUUCCAAAAAUGAAAGAGAAUAAAGAACACCUUAAGAUUAAGGGAAACUAUCCAAGGGAGGGGGACUGGAGAACGGCUCCCUCCAUGUGGCUCAGGCCGUGCAGUCCAUGGAGAGGAUUGCAUGUCAGCCUGCUGUAUAACAGAGGUCUACCUUUGGCCAAAGCCCAUCUACAUACAGUGGGCCCAAACUGACUGGAGGGAGACUGUCUGUGUUGCAUCUGUGGAAGCUCUUGCAAUGGGGCGUGCUGACCAUCCUGGAAAACAAGCUGAGGUACCCUUGGAGGACCCCAAGAAUCACCUGCCUAUGGUUCUUCGGGCUAUCCCCAGGGAGAUGCUGCUGUGAGGUUGUGUAGAAUAUCCUGGGAAAGCCUUCUUGUUGGAAACAGUUAGCAGUGGAAUGUCCCAGAUAGCAUAAGCUCACCACUUUUUGUAAUGUGGUGGAGGGACAGGGAAGAUCACUGGAGUGGAGAAGAAAACCGUUUUAUUCCUCAGGGUCUUUCCAAGACUGCUUCUGGGUGGAAAUUCUUCUUCCUGGCAUGGAAGAGGUAUCCCUGGACCAGGAGCAGGAAUGCGGGACGAAAAGGAAAGCAGCAACCAUUUGGAUUUGGUAUAGGAUUCGACCUCUGCUUUGCCCUCUCAGCCUCUGAACUUCUCUGUCUGUCUCCCUCUCCUUCUCCCUGUACCUGUCCCAACAUCUCCCUCUCCCUCUCCCCCCACUCUCUCUUCCACCAAAUAAGGCGUGGCUAACCUUUGAGCAAGCAAAACUCACAUCCCCUUUCCACACAAGGCAAUGAGGAGCCUCCACAGUUAUUGUAUCCAUUGCUGGCUAUCGAAAUGUCUCCUUAAAUUUAGCCACAGUACCACUGAAUAAUUUAUAAACACUAAAUUAUGAAGCUGCUCUCCAACAGCUUAUAUAUAGAAUGAGCAUGAAGGUUCGUUCCUGGCAGCCUGCCACCUACUCGUGGCUAGCUUCUCUUGGCACUUGUCUUAGUUAGGUUUUUAUUACUAUGAUGAAGAUUAUGACCAAAAGGAACUUGGGGAGAAAAGGGUUUAUAUUAUCUUACAUCUUCAAGUAACUGUCUAUCACUGAAGGAAGUCAGGGUAAGAACUCAAAGCAGGAACAUGGGGGCAGAAACUGAAGCAGAAGCCAUGGAGGAACUUGACUUAUAGUUGUGCUCUCUGUGGCUUGCUCAGCCUGCUUUCUUAUGCCACCCAGCACAACAUGUCCAAGGUUGGCACCACCCCCAGUGAGCUGGUCCUCCCAUAUCAAUUAUUAAUCAAGAAAAUGCCUUACAGAGUUGCUUACACGUUAAUCUUAUGGAGAUAUUUUUUCAAUUAAUAUUUGCUCUUCCCAGAUAUUUGUGUCAAGGUGUAUAAUCAAGUUGACAAAACCCACCAUCAUCCUAGAGGGAUGCUGUCCAAGGAGCCUCGCUUGCUUGGUGAAACACUCUCUUGUGGGUAGAUCCCUACAAGUUGGCUACCUGGUAAGCUUUGUGGGUUCUCCAUCCGGUUUACUCUGUUUUUAGGGGCACCUCUGAAGAUAGCUGUAUGAAGAUGAGGAAAACCCCACAGAUUUCACAAGCAUCUCUACAAGACUUCCUGUUUUCCACUUCUCCAUUUGUCAGACUCAGCCCAUUAACUGUGGUUCAGUUUUGGUCCAAAGCUUUCUAUCGGACUCCUCUGCUAGCCAAGGAGUACAGUCUUAUCUGAAUCCCAGAGGCACAUGCCCUGAGUAUCCCACCACUUGAAGAUUGCUAGUGAGGUCAGAGGUGAUAUUAGCAAAUGUGAUUUUCCAAUACUGAACCAUGAAAUAUGUCACCGUUUGCAAAAUAAGUGCAGCACAGGUAACCGAUAUUUCCAGGUGAUCAAUUCAUGAUGUAAAAUUCCAUCAAAGAAUAAGACGGAUCAAUGGAUUUUAAUGUAACAGCAUAUUAAAAGGUUUCCAAGCUGUAACUCAAUUUAAGAAACUACCAUUUGUUGAAUGUUGCUAUAAUUUCCAUGAAAGCCCACACUUAGCAGAAUGCAAUCAAAGCAAAUAUCCCUCACUUUUCUACCUCCUUGACUGCGUGAGGCCAUGUUGGAUUCGUAUACUCAUAUAAAACAAUAUGACAACAGACUAUCUAAACACCUCUAUAGCCACUGAGCUAAUUUCUAUUAAGAAAGACACUAAAGGGAUUUUUGAAAUUGGAAAACUCAGCAUCCUGGGCAUUGUGGUGUGCACACCUACAUGGCAGCAGCCAGCACUUGGGGAAUGAAGGCAAAAGGUACAAGGCCAGCCUUGGGCUAAUAAGGAGAGUUCAACUCUGGCCUAGGUCAUAUAAUACCUUGUCUCAAAACAAACAAAAGAUCAAAAAAAGUAAAAUCAGGUUGCUGUUCUUGCUAAUUUUGUUUUGAAAACAAACAAAAAAAUUAAUCUUGUAUUCACAUGUAAUUUGUUAUUAUAU
rnacentral:lncRNA from 1 species